GACGUAGGGCGCGAGCGUUGUCCGGAUUUAUUGGGCGUAAAGAGCUCGUAGGCGGUGUGUCGCGUCGGCCGUGAAAACCUGCAGCUUAACUGUGGGCUUGCGGUCGAUACGGGCAUCACUGGAGUUCGGCAGGGGAGACUGGAAUUCCUGGUGUAGCGGUGAAAUGCGCAGAUAUCAGGAGGAACACCGGUGGCGAAGGCGGGUCUCUGGGCCGCAACUGACGCUGAGGAGCGAAAGCAUGGGGAGCGAACAGG
rnacentral:rRNA from 1 species